AUCAGAAAUGACUAUAUCUCAACAUUUACCAGUGAUCAGCUUGGGAACGGCUUUGGGUUUGUGUGCACUUCUGAUUCUCUGUCUCACUUUUUACCUGCUGAGCAGAAGCAAACACGAUAAAAUAAAUACUUCUAUGAAACAUUCUCCAGGAAUCAGGCCGGAAUCUGAAGCUGAAACACUAAAUUAUGCAGCUCUCAAAUUCCCCAAGAGGAAAAUAAAUGCUGAAAAAAGCACAUUGAAUGACUGUGUGUACAGUGAUGUGAAAUAUACGUGUAAGAUAUAACUUGUUCAAAGAAAAUAGUGACAAAUAUAUUGUUUUGUUAUAGAAAGAAAAUAUAUUGAUUACAGACUACAAAUAUUUUUAUUGUUAAGAUAAAUUAUUUAUUUGUUCAUUUUAUAUUUUGCAUUGAAACUGCUGCUGACAGAUUAUGUCUAUGUAAAACAAACAAACAAAAAAAGCUAAGA